AGAGAACCGGAGAGAAACGUCAAACGAAAUGACGUCUUGUCUGUCAUUUAUGCGUGGAGGGCAAACAAGAAAAACUUUGCAUUUAUUUCUUUAAAGAAGUGACAAAUAUAAAACGUACUGUGUAAUAAUAAUCAAAAGUUAUCAUUUAUUAAAGUAAAAAAUGCCUUCAACGUGCUGCGUUAUUGGUUGUUCCAAAAGAGCAGAACGGGAUCACACUUUCAGUUUUUUUCGCUUCCCGGCCGUCCACAAAAAACCAACCGAGAUUGAAAUCUCUAAAGCAAGGAGAACAGCAUGGCUAAAUGCCAUUAAAAGAAAGGAUUUAAAAGAGAGCUCACUAAAGUACACAAGAAUAUGUUCUCAACAUUUUAUUACAAGUCGUCCAGCUAAGCUUAAAGACAAGCUACAUCCAAAUUG